UGCUUCACUAGUCUCCCAGUCCCUGCCGCUGAACAACAUCCCCACAGCAUGACGCUGCUGCAACCAUGCUUCAGUAGUCUACCAGUCUCCCUGCCGCUGAACAACAUCCCCACAGCAUGAUGCUGCCGCCACCAUGCUUCACCGUAGGGAUGGUGCCAGGUUUCCUCCAGACGUGAUGCUUGGCAUUCAGGCCAAAGAGUUCAAUCUUGGUUUCAUCAGACCAGAGAAUCUUGUUUCUCAUGGUCUGAGAGUACUUUAGGUGCCUUUUGGCAAACUCCAAGCGGGCUGUCAUGUGCCUUUUACUGAGGAGUAGCUUCCGCCUGGCAACUCUACCAUAAAGGCUUGAUUGGUGAAGUGCUGCAGAGAUGGUUGUCCUUCUGGAAUGUUCUCCCAUCUCCAAAGAGGAACUCUGGAGCUCUUUCAAAGUGACCAUUGGGUUCUUAGUCACCUCCCUGACCAAGGACCUUCUCCCCCGAUUGCUCAGUUUGGCAGGGCGGCCAGCUCUAGGAGUCUUGGUGGUUCCAAACUUCUUCCUUUUAAGAAUGAUGCCGUCCACUGUCCUUGGGAGACCUUCAAUGCUGCAGACAUUUUGUUGUUGUUCUGUGCCUCGAUACAAUCCUGUCUCGGAGGUCUACGGACAACUCCUUCCACCUCAUGGCUUGGUUUUUGCUCCGACAUGCAACCUUUCCAAAUCAUGUCUAAUCAAUUGAAUUUACCACAGGUGUACCCCAAUCAAGUUGUAGAAACAUCUAGAAUGAUCAAUGGAAACAGGAUGCACCGGAGCUCAAUUUCGAGUCUCAUGGGCAAAGGGUCGGAAUACUUACGUAAAUAAAAUAUUUCUGUUUUUUAUUUUUAAUAAAAAUAUGUUUUUGCUUUGUCAUUAUAGAUUGAAGAAAUCGUUUUUGUGGAAAAAGGGAAAAGGUCUGAAUACUUUCCAAAUCCACUGUAAAUCCCAAGUCUGUCUUUUACUGCGUCUUUGAUAUUUCACAUGGACGACAUUAAAGGUUAACAGUCGACGUGGACGACUUUACUAAAGGUUUACGGUCAACAUUACUAAAGGUUUACGGUCAACGUUACUAAAGGUUUACGGUCAACGUUACUAAAGGUUUACGGUCGACGUUACUAAAGGUUUACGGUCGACGUUACUAAAGGUUUACGGUCGACGUUACUAAAGGUUUACGGUCGACAUUACUAAAGGUUUACGGUCGACAUUACUAAAGGUUUACGGUCGACAUUACUAAAGGUUUACGGUCGACGUUACUAAAGGUUUACGGUCGACGUUACUAAAGGUUUACGGUCGACGUUACUAAAGGUUUACGGUCCACGUGGACAACUUUACUAAAGGUUUACGGUCGACGUGGACAACUUUACUAAAGGUUUACGGUCGGCGUUACUAAAGGUUUACGGUCGACGUGGACGACUUUACUAAAGGUUUACGGUCGGCGUUACUAAAGGUUUACGGUCAACGUUACUAAAGGUUUACAGUCAACGUUACUAAAGGUUUACGGUCGACGUUACUAAAGGUUUACGGUCGACGUUACUAAAGGUUUACGGUCCACGUGGACAACUUUACUAAAGGUUUACGGUCGACGUGGACAACUUUACUAAAGGUUUACGGUCGGCGUUACUAAAGGUUUACGGUCGACGUUACUAAAGGUUUACGGUCGACGUUACUAAAGGUUUACGGUCGACGUUACUAAAGGUUUACGGUCGACAUUACUAAAGGUUUACGGUCGACAUUACUAAAGGUUUGCGGUCAACAUUACUAAAGGUUUACAGUCGACAUUACUCAAGGUUUACGAUCAACGUGGACGACUUUACUAAAGGUGUACGGUCGGCGUUACUAAAGGUUUACGGUCGACAUUACUAAAGGUUUGCGGUCGACAUUACUAAAGGUUUAUGGUCGACAUCUGGAAGACAAGGUGCAUUAUGAACACCGUGGGGUUUUUCUUACAAAUCAAAACAGAAUAUUUAAAAAAAGAAAUAAGACCGACUAUUACAUCUGUAAAUUAUGUCAUUAUGAACUCAAACAUAUUGAUGUGAAUGUUGAAUUGUAUUCAUGUGAACUAUUUCUGAUCGACAUUACUAAAGGUUUGCGGUCAACAUUACUCAAGGUUUACAGUCGACAUUACUCAAGGUUUACGAUCGACGUGGACGACUUUACUAAAGGUUUACGGUCGGCGUUACUAAAGGUUUACGGUCGACGUUACUAAAGGUUUACGGUCGACAUUACUAAAGGUUUACGGUCGACAUUACUAAAGGUUUACGGUCGACAUUACUAAAGGUUUACGGUCGACAUUACUAAAGGUUUACGGUCGACGUUACUAAAGGUUUACGGUCGACGUUACUAAAGGUUUACGGUCAACGUGGACAACUUUACUAAAGGUUUACGGUCGACGUGGACAACUUUACUAAAGGUUUACGGUCGACGUUACUAAAGGUUUACGGUCGACGUGGACAACUUUACUAAAGGUUUACGGUCGACGUUACUAAAGGUUUAUGGUCAACGUUACUAAAGGUUUACGGUCGACAUUACUAAAGGUUUACAGUCGACAUUACUAAAGGUUUACGGUCGACAUUACUAAAGGUUUACGGUCAACAUUACUAAAGGUUUACGGUCAACAUUACUAAAGGUUUACGGUCAACGUUACUAAAGGUUUACGGUCAACGUUACUAAAGGUUUACGGUCAACGUUACUAAAGGUUUACAGUCGACAUUACUCAAGGUUUACGAUCAACGUGGACGACUUUACUAAAGGUUUACGGUCGGCGUUACUAAAGGUUUACGGUCGACAUUACUAAAGGUUUGCGGUCGACAUUACUAAA